rnacentral:rRNA from 1 species
GACGAACGCUGGCGGCGUGCCUAAUACAUGCAAGUAGAACGCUGAAGGAGGAGCUUGCUUCUCCGGAUGAGUUGCGAACGGGUGAGUAACGCGUAGGUAACCUGCCUGGUAGCGGGGGAUAACUAUUGGAAACGGUAGCUAAUACCGCAUAACAGUAGAUAUUGCAUGAUAUCUGCUUAAAAGGUGCAAUUGCAUCACUACCAGAUGGACCUGCGUUGUAUUAGCUAGUUGGUGGGGUAACGGCUCACCAAGGCGACGAUACAUAGCCGACCUGAGAGGGUGAUCGGCCACACUGGGACUGAGACACGGCCCAGACUCCUACGGGAGGCAGCAGUAGGGAAUCUUCGGCAAUGGACGGAAGUCUGACCGAGCAACGCCGCGUGAGUGAAGAAGGUUUUCGGAUCGUAAAGCUCUGUUGUAAGAGAAGAACGAGUGUGAGAGUGGAAAGUUCACAC